rnacentral:rRNA from 1 species
GACGAACGCUGGCGGCGUGCUUAACACAUGCGAGUCGAACGGAAAGGCCCUGCUUUUGUGGGGUGCUCGAGUGGCGAACGGGUGAGUAACACGUGAGUAACCUGCCCUUGACUUUGGGAUAACUUCAGGAAACUGGGGCUAAUACCGGAUAGGAGCUCCUGCUGCAUGGUGGGGGUUGGAAAGUUUCGGCGGUUGGGGAUGGACUCGCGGCUUAUCAGCUUGUUGGUGGGGUAGUGGCUUACCAAGGCUUUGACGGGUAGCCGGCCUGAGAGGGUGACCGGCCACAUUGGGACUGAGAUACGGCCCAGACUCCUACGGGAGGCAGCAGUGGGGAAUAUUGCACAGUGGGCGGAAGCCUGAUGCGGCAACGCCGCGUGCGGGAUGACGGCCUUCGGGUUGUAAACCGCUUUCGCCAGUGACGAAGCGUGAGUGACGGUAAUGGGUAAAGAAGCACCGGCUAACUACGUG